AGUGAAAUUGCUGGGUCAUAUGGUACCGCUUUAUUUAAUUUUUUGAGAAACUGCUGGACUGUUUUCCAAAGUUACUGCACCAUUUCACAUUCCCAACAGCAGU
rnacentral:pre_miRNA from 2 species